UACGAAGGGGGCUAGCGUUGCUCGGAUUGACUGGGCGUAAAGGGCGCGUAGGCGGUUCGUACAGUCAGACGUGAAAUCCCUCGGCUUAACCGGGGAACUGCAUCUGAUACUGGAUGGCUUGAGUUCGGGAGAGGGAUGCGGAAUUCCAGGUGUAGCGGUGAAAUGCGUAGAUAUCUGGAGGAACACCGGUGGCGAAGGCGGCAUCCUGGACCGACACUGACGCUGAGGAGCGAAAGCCAGGGGAGCAAACGGG
rnacentral:rRNA from 1 species